rnacentral:rRNA from 1 species
CAGUCGCCACGGGAAUACGGAGGGUGCAAGCGUUAAUCGGAAUUACUGGGCGUAAAGCGCACGCAGGCGGUCUGUCAAGUCAGAUGUGAAAUCCCCGGGCUUAACCUGGGAACUGCAUUUGAAACUGGCAGGCUAGAGUCUUGUAGAGGGGGGUAGAAUUCCAGGUGUAGCGGUGAAAUGCGUAGAGAUCUGGAGGAAUACCGGUGGCGAAGGCGGCCCCCUGGACAAAGACUGACGCUCAGGUGCGAAAGCGUGGGGAGCAAACAGGAUUAGAUACCCCUGUAGUCCCUGUCUCUUAUAU